GGGGACCAAGGGGAGGAGGGAUGGGGGAGGAUUCUGGAGCCAAUCUGGAGACAAAGACAGAGACAGCAAAGAGCAGGACCCCCUGAGAUGCCUCCCCCAUGGCCUUCUGACUUGGGGAAGCUUUUCACCCUCCUCCUUCCCCUGGCCCCAGACCAGGUCACAGCUCUGCCUGGGCCCUUGUUCCGGGGAUGAGGAGGAGGCUGGUUUCAGGUGGGCGCCAGGAGCUCCCAUCCUCAGUGUCCACUCCGGGCCCUGCUGGCUGUGACCGGUGCAGAGCCAGGCUGUGAGGCCCUGGACUGGUUAGUGACGGCCCUGCCUGCCUCCUAGACAGUCCUCUGCUCUGUGGCUCCCCCAUCCUGUCCCUGCCCCAUCUCUGCCUGGGCCUCCUCCAUCAGGAGCCCUGUCCUCUGUGUCCCUUUGAGUCCCUCUCCUCAACUCCUUCCCACCACCCUCUUCUCGACUUGGUUUCCCUCUUUCUCUCCUCCUGCCCGCCCCCCA
rnacentral:lncRNA from 1 species